UCCCAGGUUUUAUUAAAAACUACUAAAAACUACUACUAAAAUCUUGU
rfam:Haliaeetus albicilla contig48489, whole genome shotgun sequence.